rfam:Puccinia sorghi strain RO10H11247 Scaffold_1428, whole genome shotgun sequence.
GCUCCCCUGGCGUAAUGGUAACGCGUUGGACUUCUACAGCUAGGAUGGUUUUGCUGUAAUCCAAAGACUGCGGGUUCGAGCCCCGCGGGGAGUG